CGAAUUGCAAUGUGUCCAGGUUGUCUGGUAGGCUGGAGUUGAUGCGUGCCGUGACCAACCUCUCAAAGCACUUCAUGAUGGUGGAUGUCAGAGCCACUGACAGCCUAAGGGAUGAAGAGAUUGUUUCACUGCUAUGCUGCUUGACUGGCUGAAUUAUUGCAGCAUUUCUGUUUUCCUUUCAUACUCCAGCAUCUACAGUUUUAUUUAUUUUCCAUCGACA